CUCUAAAGAGCUCAAUUAUUUGGUGUUGUGAGAACUGCAGGAAAUGAAGCUUUUUGCUCUGCAUGCUCAUAAAAUAGGAUCAAUGAGUAAUUGUUCAAUCGAUUAUUUAAAAGAGUGAAAGUCUUUUAACAGAUGUCAAGAUCCCUUGUGGUGAAUGAUAUUAAUUAUAAUGCAAAACACCCAAAUAUUGUUGAGGAAAGACUGUGAACUGAGCACCUGAAAAGUCCCUUUCUGCUUACUGGGUUCAAAACACAUUUUUAUACUUGAAAUUUGCUUCAGAGAGACAGGAAAUCAUCUCUAUUCCCCUUCCUCCUUUGGCAAACGAACAACGUAGGUUUUAUUUUUAAGCAAUUUAUCAUAACAAAGAUCCUCUCUGCCAAAACAAACCACAGUGCUCAAUGACUACAUCGCGGUGAGAUUUUUUUCUUAGAUUAUUCAGAGCGAAAAAUUCAGUAGAGAAAAAGAGUAUUUUAAAAAAUUGACUAUUUUAUUCUAGCUAUCUAAAUAGUAGACUAAUACUAGAAGAAAAGUUCUCCAUUAUUCAGUAAUUGUUGCUUUUUUACAGAAUAAUCAGAUCAAUGUAGCGCCUGAAAUUUCAUCAUAGUCAGAAAUCACACAGGCUGUGGUCUGCAGAAUCUGCUCAUUUAGAUGGGAUGGGUAAGGGUGGAAGAACCAUGGGGAGGCAAGACAAGGAGGAGAGAGGAGGUUAUCCCACCUCUCUUGGGAGCCAGUUCUUGGGAACCAGUUGUAUGAGCCCUGGGCAUGUAGGCCUCCCCUCCCCAGGGACCCAGGUUGGCCUACCUGUGCCCCAGUGUCCGAGCCUCCAUCUCUCCUUCCUGUUUAAUUAACACCCCUGAGCAGUUGAGCAGUGUGGAACCUACCCCACCAUCCCAGCACCUAGACUUAGUGUAUUAGCAGUUUUUUCAGUGAAAUUUAAUUGAAGUUUGUUACAUACGGAGGCCUCCGAUGGGCUCCUUUUUGAUUAUUAACAUAUUGCUGAAGUGAAGGUCUUUCAUUUAUCCAUCCGUUUGUUAACAUAAUACCUACAUUAUGCCAGGCACAGUCCGAUGGCAAAGAUAGGUAACCCAAACAAUUAUAAUGCAGUCAGAAAAGGGUUGAGCUGCAUCUUAACUCCUUGAGGGACUGGUUUUAUCUAUCUCUGAAGUCCCAGCACCAAGCCAGCUGCCUGAUGGAGAAAUUACCCAGUAAGUGUUUGUGAAAAUUUGUGAACUUAAUGGAUAGACUGGUAUGGGAGCCCAGACAAGGGACAGCUAAAUAAAGGUAGAAGACAGAAGUGAGGGAAGACUUCCUGGAGGAGGGGACACAAUCUGAGUCUAAAGAAUAAGUUGAACAGGGAGGAAGGAACACAUAUAAAGGCACUUGGGCAGUGAUGUACAGAAAAGGGGGCUCUCAUUCAAGAUCUAUGUGUCUUCCAAAACACACACAUACACACACACACACACACACACACACACACACACAGAGUGGGCUCCUGGCAUGCAGGAGACAGGAGACAGAAAUAUGCUCUCUUUGCAAAUAGUGGUAACUGUGAUAUUCUCUAUUUCAAGGACAUUGAGGUAAUUAAUAUGAGAGAGAGGUGGGUUUUAUUAAGCUUGAGAACGUCAGAGUUCUGCAAGGGAAACCUGACAAUACUGUGAUGUGUUAUGAUAUUUUUUACGCUAUAUAAUUUGAGCUUGUAACUGCUUAACCAAUUAAAGAUUUAGGAGAGAGGCCUUAAACACUGUUGCACAGCUGAAGGAAUGAUUUAUUACACCAAAGCUUAUUGGAACAGAGAGAAGCCAGAUUGCAUUCAGAGGAACACCACUGUAGGACCUGUUAAUUGAUGUUCCAGAAUCAGGCUUCUCUGUUCAACCUGGAGAAAAGCUAUACCUUAAAUCUGCUUUUUGGAGAGUUCUAAUGCACAAUAAUAAACCAAAACGUUUGGGAAGUUUCUAUAGUUAAAAAAAAAAAAAGGUUUAUUAUUGGUUAAACAUACUUCCCCGGAAAAUCCUUUUUUUCCUUCCCAAUUAUCCGUAAAUACCAGUUUUUGAAUGGUUGCAGUAAGAGAAGAUUGAGACACUGGAGGAUUUAUGGAAUUUCACCCACUCUUUUGGGUUUAUACUAUAACCAGAUUUUUAAAAAAUCCAGUGAAAGAUAAAUUCCAUUAAAGCCCAAUUUCACUUGUGUCAACGAUGCAGUACUGAUUUAGAAAUGCAUUGUCUAUGACAUUGUCAAUGCUGUCCUUCAUUUCAUACAGGUCUCUCUUGGGCUCCAAUCAAUGCAUGGUGGCAGCCGCAUAAGUUAAGUUGCCACUGCACAGAGGUGAGAGAGAGCAUGGUGCAAGGGGCAACCCACGAGGAUCUCGGUGGGUUUUACCCUUGAGUCUUGUGGGAAGAAUUGAUGAAGGUGCCUGAAAAGGGAUGACUCAAGGGUCACAAGGAUUUGUGAGUUUGUUUUACAGAAGAAAAAGAAUGUCUUAAAGGAAGAUAUGAUCACCAGAUAACCAGCCCCCAGCUGCCACUGACCCCCAGAAGUCAGAUUGUCCAAGAGCUUAUCUGGAGUGAGAGAAACAUGGAUUACCCCUUUGUUUCUCUGAAACUUCUGCCUAGCCCCUUAGCUCUCUAAAACCUCUGCUUUCUUCUCUUGUUAAGGUGGAUUUGAGAGAACCUAUCCUUCUGUCUUCUCAUUUUGGCCAAUUUGAAUAAACCUUUUUCCAUCUCAAA
rnacentral:lncRNA from 1 species